rnacentral:rRNA from 1 species
AUGGUCCUAUCGGUGUGGAAGGUGUGGGCUCCUCCGCGGUGCAAAUUUUUCGCAUGGCUUGUACUUCAAGAUAGAAUCUGGACAUCGGACCGCCUUGCUCGACGUGGGUGGCCCAACUGCGGGCUAUGCCCGCUUUGCAAGCAAAGCCCAGAGACGGCAGCCCACUUACUGUUCCAAUGUCGCUACACCCUUCGUGUGUGGAACGAUAUUCUUCGUUGGCUUGGCAUGGAUCACACUCAGGCUACUACUUGGUCAGCGAGGGGCUCGGUGUGGGAAUGGUGGAAUGGAAACGUAUAUCUUCGUUCUGAAUCCCCCAAGACGCUCGCCUCACUAAUGAUGCUAAUCUCCUGA